GUUAUCACAGCCCUUAUUAAGCACAGCACUGAAAAAUGCUAAAUUACCCCAACUUAUAACACA
rnacentral:tRNA from 1 species